AUGAUGAGAGAUUUUCAUAAUUGUUUGCAAGAGUGCGGUCUAGAGGAUAUGGGAUGUAUUGGCGAUCUAUUCACUUGGAGAAGAGGCGAAAUUAGGGAGAGACUUGAUCGUGCAGUUUGCAAUGUGGAUUGGGCAAAUAAAUUUCCUCGGGUUGCGAUUAUAAAUGAAGAACACGUACACUCUGAUCAUCAACCCCUCAUCCUGGAUACAAAUUACUUUGAUGUGAAUAUGUUUAAUCGCCCAAGGGGUCGAGUAAAACAAUUUGAAGCUCGAUGGCUCAAAGAAGAGACUGUUGUAGAAAUUGUACGUAUAGCAUGGGAUAAAGCAAAGAUGAUGGGUAUUGGGCCGUCUCUCGCUGACCGUACACGGGCGAUGCAGGCGGAUCUGCAUAUUUGGGAUCGCGAUAUUAUGAAGGGACCAAAAAAAGAAUUGACAAACUAA
rnacentral:rRNA from 1 species